CACGUAGGGCGCAAGCGUUGUCCGGAAUUAUUGGGCGUAAAGAGCGCGCAGGCGGUCGUCCAAGUCGCGUGUGAAAGCCCCCGGCUCAACUGGGGAGGGUCACGCGAUACUGGUCGACUCGAAGGCAGGAGAGGGUAGUGGAAUUCCCGGUGUAGUGGUGAAAUGCGUAGAUAUCGGGAGGAACACCAGUGGCGAAGGCGACUACCUGGCCUGUUCUUGACGCUGAGGCGCGAAAGCUAGGGGAGCAAACGGG
rnacentral:rRNA from 1 species